rfam:Myotis lucifugus cont2.3291, whole genome shotgun sequence.
GGUAGUUCUCGAGUGAUGCACCCCAGAAUCAGGCUCCCUCCUCUCUGGUUCUAGAGUGUGUCACCCAAUAACCACC